AUGCUUGCUAUGGCAGCACAUAUAUACUAAAAUUGGAAAGAUACAGAGAAUAUGGCCCUUGCACAAGAAUAACAUGCAAAUUUGUGAGGCGUCCCAUAUUUUU